CUAUAGCCGCGAUGGAAACGGCAUCCUUUUUUGGCGCGAGCGCAGCGAGCGGCAAAAAAGAUAUAGUGGACAGCGGGACGGGUC
rnacentral:sRNA from 1 species